AACGGCGAGUGAAGCGGGAAGAGCUCAAGCUUGAAAUCCGGCGCCCCCGGGGGGUGCCGGAGUUGUAACCUACAGGUGCGUGUUCGCCCGCUGGUGGGGCUGCGGCUAAGUCCGAUUUGAAAAGGGCACCAAGGAGGGUGGCAGUCCCGUUCGUGCCGUGGUCCUGCCUGCGAUGUGGCCUCGCUUCCCAGGAGUCGAGUUGCUUGGGAUUGCAGCUCAAAGGGGGUGGUAAACUCCAUCCAAAGCUAAACACGUGUGGGAGACCGAUAGCGAACAAGUACCGUGAGGGAAAGAUGCAAAGAACUUUGAAAAGAGAGUCAAAGAGUGCCUGAAAUUGCUGAGAGGGAAGCGAAGGAAAGUAGUGUCGAUCGAGGGGAUCUUGCACACGGGGAACGGUCCCCUGGGGCCCUCCCCGUUAUCCCCCGCGCUGUCAGGGGCGGGUGUGGUUUAAGUCGGCGACUGCGGCAUCAUUAGUACAGGUGUUCCGAGGUAACAGCCGGACAAAUGCUGUGGGUCACUGAGCGUCCCGCCCGCGGCCGUCCCUGACGAAAUGUUUUUCUUUACCCCGUCUUG
rnacentral:rRNA from 1 species